AUCAGGGGUAAACCUGUGGAACUCGAACGAGCGAACGGGGAGAUUCAUCGCUCUUCCGCGAGACGGUCCGCGGCGACGCGUACGGGCGGAUGCGAUUCGUCGCGUUCGUCGACGCGUCGUCGUCUCGUCAGACCGGCGGAGUGCGUGCACUUCUCCCUCAGUAUAACACCGCGACCCGUUGAAUCAUUGUCGAUCGAACACGUCGUGCGGUCGUCCGUCGUUUGCUCGUUAAAAAGGCAGGCGGCGGAGCCGCGACGUUGCGGCCGACGUUCGACGGUAACGAACGAGGUUCGCGUCCGCUCCCCCUCAACGGGGGGGGCGUCCGUGACGCCGCGGCGGCUCUCCCCGCGUAGACCUCGGCGCGCAAGCGUCGCGGGUUCUGCGUGUGAGAAUCAGAGUGUCGCUUUUUAUGCGGCGUCGUCUCGGACGGGACGCGUCCCGGUCAGCGGUGGUUUUGUUUCGGGCACUCACAGGAACC
rnacentral:rRNA from 1 species